GCAAGUCGGGCGGAAACGAUGAUAGCUUGCUAUCAGGCGUCGAGCGGCGGACGGGUGAGUAAUGCCUGGGAAUAUACCUUAAUGUGGGGGAUAACUAUUGGAAACGAUAGCUAAUACCGCAUAACCUCUUCGGAGUAAAGCAGGGGGACUUCGGGCCUUGCGCGUUAAGAUGAGCCCGGGUGAGAUUAGCUAGUUGGUGGGGUAAAGGCUCACCAAGGCGACGAUCUCUAGCUGGUCUGAGAGGAUGAUC
rnacentral:rRNA from 1 species